rnacentral:lncRNA from 1 species
GAGGUACCUCCCUUCCGAGUUUGGUAUGGAUGUUGACCGUAUGCAUCAUGCUAUGCCCCCUGGCGAUAAGGUCUUCAGCGAGAAGCGUAUCGUUCGACGAGCUAUCGAAGAGGCCAGCAUCCCCCACACUUACAUCUCCGCCAAUUGCUUCGCCGGCAUCUUCCUAGCUGGGCUGGCGCAACUGGCAAUCUUCAUGCCGCCAAGAGACCAUGUCAACGUUUAUGGCGGCGGGGAUAAAAGAUGCAUAUGGGUGGCGGAGGAGGACGUUGCAAUGUAUGCCAUGCUAUCGGUCGAUGAUCCGAGGACCCUGAACAAGGUUGUCUACCUCCGCCCCCCGGAUAACAUCCUGAGCCAGAUGGAGGUCAUCGAGAUAUGGGAGAGGGUCAUCGGCCGAAAACUCAGCAAG